rnacentral:tRNA from 1 species
AAUAAAAUAAGCUAAUCCUAAGCUGUUAGGUUCAUACCCUAAAAAUGACUUUCGUCUUUUAUUA